UACGAAGGGGGCUAGCGUUGCUCGGAAUUACUGGGCGUAAAGGGAGCGUAGGCGGAUAUUUAAGUCAGGGGUGAAAUCCCGAGGCUCAACCUCGGAACUGCCUUUGAUACUGGGUGUCUUGAGUGUGAGAGAGGUGAGUGGAACUCCGAGUGUAGAGGUGAAAUUCGUAGAUAUUCGGAAGAACACCAGUGGCGAAGGCGACUCACUGGCUCAUUACUGACGCUGAGGCUCGAAAGCGUGGGGAGCAAACAGG
rnacentral:rRNA from 1 species